AAGAGAAAUGGGGUGGUAGCUGGAAGAGGAUAUGGGACCAGGAACGUUUUACAAUUUUAUCAAGUGGGAGAGAUUCUGACAGCACAUUUGUGUGCUGGGAAUGACUCAACAGAGAAUAACAGCUCAGCGAUGCAAGAACAGGAAUGACAAGGACAAAGGCUAGGAUAAAGGGAAGGAGAUCCUACCAGAUUUUAUGAAGAAACAUGUGAAGUCUUCAGCUUUGAAAUAGCCCCAUAUUGGACCUUCCCUGGGCCAAAGAGAAGAGUUGCAUAUUGAUGACAAUGGAGCCAUCCCACC